UCGCCCAUUUAAGACUUGAAAUGUCCUAAAUGAUGAACAUAGGGGGGUAAGGCAGUUCUCUCAUAAACCUGUAGUGAAGGCCAAAUCCUCUCUGUGGAUCCUGUCGGGAGAAAUAAAC
ensembl:snoRNA